rnacentral:rRNA from 1 species
GAUGAACGCUGGCGGCGUGCUUAACACAUGCAAGUCGAACGGAAAGGCCUCUGCUUGCAGGGGUACUCGAGUGGCGAACGGGUGAGUAACACGUGGGUGAUCUGCCCUGCACUUCGGGAUAAGCCUGGGAAACUGGGUCUAAUACCGGAUAGGACAAUGGUUUGGAUGCUGUUGUGGAAAGUUUUUCGGUGUGGGAUGAGCUCACGGCCUAUCAGCUUGUUGGUGGGGUAAUGGCCUACCAAGGCGUCGACGGGUAGCCGGCCUGAGAGGGUGUACGGCCACAUUGGGACUGAGAUACGGCCCAGACUCCUACGGGGGGCAGCAGUGGGGAAUAUUGCACAAUGGGCGCAAGCCUGAUGAAGCGACGCCGCGUGGGGGAUGACGGCCUUCGGGUUGUAAACUCCUUUCGCUAGGGACGAAGCGUUUUUGUGACGGUACCUGGAGAAGAAGCACCGGCUAACUACGUG